UACGUAGGUGGCAAGCGUUAUCCGGAUUUAUUGGGCGCAAAGGGAACGCAGGCGGUCUUUUAAGUCUGAUGUGAAAGCCUUCGGCUUAACCGGAGUAGUGCAUUGGAAACUGGGAGACUUGAGUGCAGAAGAGGAGGGUGGAACUCCAUGUGUAGCGGUGAAAUGCGUAGAUAUAUGGAAGAACACCAGUGGCGAAAGCGGCUCUCUGGUCUGUAACUGACGCUGAGGUUCGAAAGCGUGGGUAGCAAACAGG
rnacentral:rRNA from 1 species